AAAGGAGAGCUUGUGGAGAAGCUCAUGUGCUGUCUCUUCAGUGGAGAGUUCAAUCCAGGAACAGGAUGUGAUUAAGGAUCUUGAGAUGGAGAGUUACCUUGGAUUACCUGGGCAAAGCACUCCCCGUUUCUUCAACUCUGGAGCUGUGGAGGAGUAUUUUUGGGGGACUGGAGGCCACACCCAUCCCUCCUGUGGGCGUGUCAUCUCCCUCUGUCUCAUGGGGAAACUCACACCGUGCACUGGAGCUUCAGUUUUAUGCAGAAUUGAGGCCCGUCGGUGAUGCCGAAAGGUCAGUGCCAGUCAGCCACGCCAGCCUGGGGAGAUUCUCAGCCAACCUGUCCUCCCACCAACCGUCCUCCUCGAAACAACCAACCAGCCAAACCCACUUCUGGAGCAUCUUCUGGCCUGCAGGUGGGCAUGUUCCCUCUUCUUGUCUCUCAGCGGGAAGCCCUGAUUUGGCUUCUGUUCCCGGUCCAAUCCAAGUCCCAGCAUCAUCGGCGAGAGGAAGAGCCAUUGCCAUGGACUAAAAGGCCAGUGUGCACGGGCAUCCCCCCACCGCCUCUCACAGAUGGAGCGGCCCCGCAAGGCAGACAUCACAGCCUUCAGUUUACAGAUAACGACAUUAAGCUCCGUUCAAGGUAACACUCCCAAGGUCAGAGAGGAGCACAGCCAAGGUUCAGACUCUGCUCGCCCAUGCGGUGGCCAAAAUGAUCUGAAGUGUAGAAGAGACGGGGCGCCUGGACCACGGCAGGUGGACGCAGCCUGGAGCUGACCCUUCCGAGCCCCCGCAGGAGCUGGGGAGCCUGCCCUUGGCACUAGAUGGCUCAGCCUCUGUAGGUCUCCCCUCGGUGACUGCGUCUUCUCAUGUCACAUAUGUGAGAACACAAGGCCCAGCUGGCCCAGCUUCCGAGGUUCGCAGACAUGGGUGUUUCUGUGGCCCGACAACUAUUUACUAAGUGCCUUCUGGGUCUCCUGGGCCAAACUGGGGCAGGAUGGGAGAACAGAGGCCCUAGUACAGGUCCCAUGUAGCUGGAAUGAACCUUCCAAAGCGCAUCAUUUAUAAUUACACCCCAUUUCUUCUGCUCAGUUCUAACAGUUAACCUGUUGAUCGUGGUGAGUAUCACCUUCUCCCUCACGGUUGUCACACCAGCAGAUCCCCUCACAACCUCCCCAGGAAAGGGUUCUCACGACAGUUGCUUUCACUCUGCUGCUCAGAAGGCACGCGUUUCCGCGAGCUCCCCCCGCCCCCAGGCAUUAUGCCAAAAUCAUAUUUCCAGGGGGCAGAGGUGAGUGCUGUGCGUCUAUCUGAUUAAACUGCCUGUUGUUUUAAAUCUAUUUUCACAGAGACUUACGUCCUCCAGGACACAGGCAGUGACACAGCACAUUAAAAAUUAUAUCUGUAUCAGCGGU